AUGCGAGGCGAACCGGGUGAACUGAAACAUCUCAGUAGCUCGAGGAAAAGACAUCAACCGAGAUUCCGAAAGUAGUGGCGAGCGAAAUCGGAAGAGCCUGUUAGUGAUAGCACAAGACUUAACGGAACGCCUUGGAAAGGGCGGCCAUAGCGGGUGAUAGCCCCGUACGUGAAAAGACCUGUGUGGUACUGAGCUAACGACAAGUAGGGCGGGACACGAGAAAUCCUGUCUGAAUAUGGGGGGACCAUCCUCCAAGGCUAAAUACUCAUCAUCGACCGAUAGUGAACAAGUACCGUGAGGGAAAGGCGAAAAGAACCCCGGGAGGGGAGUG
rnacentral:rRNA from 1 species